AAAAAUGUACAGUAUAUGGAAAAAUCAGGAAAAGUAUGUGUUCUAUUUGUCUUCUAGAUAUCUCUUCAAGUUUUCCCCUAGAGAUGCAAUUGUUUUCUAAGAGCUUUUUGACAUGAACAGAGUAGUUUCUCUAUUGUGGGCACCUUUAUGGAAAGUGGAAGGCCAAGAGAGGAUGGCAGGCUGCGGGCUAUCGGAAGAUGCCUUCUUCUCUUCUUUCUUUUACAACUACAGCUCCUCCUGGGAAACCUCCUACAACCAGUGAACACUCAGAGGCAGCUGGUGCUGUGCUGUGACACUUAUGCAAAGGCCACCACAAGGUAAUGUCUUUUCUUGGCCUUUUGGAUUUGAACCAGUGACCUGGAGGUGAGAAAUUCUGUAUUCCAUUACCAGUCCUUUGAGCCCUCCAGUGCACCCUGAUAUAGCCGUGAUACUUGUUGUCAUGUGUGGCAUGUCACAUCCGUUCAUGAGGAAAACCUACACCCAAAGGAAAGAGAAUACUCUGUACAAAUCCCAUGAUAGCAGCUUGGUAAUUAACAGCUCCAGCUUCCCUGAUUGGGAGAUGACUAAUAUUAACUCAUUGCCAGACUGUUAAUAAUCAUAAAUGGGGGGUUAUUCCAUAUCAACACCCCCUUAGUGGGCUCUUGUUUUUGUUUCUCAUUAACUAAAGUGAUUUUUCUUGUUAGAGGGAAUAAUUUUAAUCAUUACUCUAGAGGAGGCCAGAGGGACUCAAGUGAGGGCUCCAUGAUAUUCCAAGGUGGUCGGAAUGUUGUCAUUAAUGAGAAUCAACAGUCCACAGGUAACAACUGGCUGUCAUCUCCACUGAUGAUCCUCUGAGGGUGGAAAAAAGUCAUUACAAAGACCAGCGAGGCUCAGUGUUGUUUUGUUAAUAAAAGCUUUAUAAAAACCA
rnacentral:lncRNA from 1 species